rnacentral:tRNA from 1 species
GGGAGUAGAUGGGUGCUGGUGUGCCCUACGGUCUUCAAAACCGGUGUGGGGGGUUAGGAGCCUCUUUGAUGAGUUCGAUUCUCAUAUACUCCCGCCA